AUGCGUAAAGGGGCGUGAGAGCCAAUCCCGUUUUUUUUAUUGAAUUUCUAUUAAAUGUUGACAUGUGAAAGAAAAUUUUGAUAAAACUCGUGAUAAUUAAAUUAAUAAUUAGUAAAUUUAGUGAAAUAUUUAUUCUCAGGAAAUAUGUGUUGUGAGUUGAAAAUAAUCCUUUGCCUAAUGGAGAUAAUUCUGACAGUUUGACAGAUUUGACAGUUCUUCAAUUUUGAGAUUAAGUGAUGACAAUGAAAUUAGUAUCAAUAAUUACAUUUAAAUUAUAAUUUAUUAAAUAAACUAGAUGUGCGUAAACGUUAAAGGACCAUGGAUUACGAAUAUAUGCCCUUCAGGGAAAAGGAUAUCCAUAAUCGAUGCUGUGGUGGAAAAUUUUGGUGUAUUAAGGAUAUAUGUGGAAUUAUUUGCGCUGUACUUACAUGGCUGUUAAUAAUUUACGCAGAAUUUGUAGUUAUGGCAGUUAUUCUUAUUCCUACGAUAAAUACAUUUUACUCAAGUAUCAAUAUGGCAAUUUUUCAAGGCUUAGCAUUUUUAGCAUUUACUGCUCAUCUUAGAACAAUGUUUACAGAUCCGGGAGCAGUGCCAAAAGGAAAUGCAACCAAGGAGAUGAUUCAGCAAAUGGGCUUCAGGGAAGGACAAGUAAUAUUUAAAUGUCCAAAAUGUUGUUCCAUUAAACCCGACAGAGCACAUCAUUGUUCUGUUUGCCAAAGAUGUAUUAAAAAAAUGGAUCAUCAUUGUCCAUGGGUCAACAAUUGCGUAGGAGAAAACAACCAAAAAUAUUUUGUACUUUUUACGUUUUAUAUUGCGGGAAUCUCAUUGCAAUCGUUGCUUCUCUGUAUUCAUCAAUUUACAACAUGCGUGAGACAAGAAUGGAGAGAUUGCACGACAUUCAGUCCUCCAGCAACAGUGGUGUUACUUUUAUUUUUGUCAAUUGAAGCUCUACUGUUUGCCAUUUUUACUGCUGUAAUGUUGGGAACUCAAUUGCAAGCUAUUUGGAAUGACGAGACGGGCAUAGAACAAUUAAAAAAAGAAGAAGCACGAUGGGUACGAAAUAGUCGAUGGAAAUCGAUACAAGCAGUUUUUGGAAGAUUUUCAAUAGCAUGGUUCUCACCGUUUACAUCGCCGCCAAAUAAAUCGAAAACGGAUGCUUAUUUGUAUUCCGUUUAAAUAUAUAUAUAUAUAUUUAACGAAAAUUCAUGGAAACGAAUAUUUCAAAUUCGCAUAAUAUCGAAAUAAUGUGAGAUUUUUUUAUGAAUGAGUGCAAUAGAUUUUCUUUUUCUUUAUAUAAAAUGGCAAAGACUGUUUUUUUUUAAAGUUUCGAUAGUUUUGUCUUCUUGAAUGCGGUGAUUUUUUUUUAUUGUUUCUAUCAAAUGGGACAAAAACAACAACAAAAAAGUACAAAAUAAUUCGUAAUUUGUUUUACGACUCCAAAAAUUUUUGGGGGAAUUUUACAGUUUAUGAUUCAAUAUAGUUGAUGAUAUUCAAAGGCUCUCAAUUUCCUUUUGGUUCGGAAUUUUUAAAUUCGAAUUUUUUACAUAAUUCUAAACUAAUAUUUGAAAAUCUAAACGGAAUUUUUUAAAUGUUAUUUAAAAAUUACAUUGAUAUAAUAUUUAAUAAAAAAGGAAAAAUUUCGUUGGUGGAAAAAAAAAUUCUUUUUUAAAUUAUAAUAAAUAUAUAUGAUAGUCAGUACUUAACUUUGUGAAAUCGUAGAAUUUUUAUACAAAGAAUUAUGAUAAUUUACAUAGUGCAGUAAAAGAAAGUGAUAAAGGUACUGUAGCUUAAAUAGUAGUAAGAAACUUUUCAGGAAUAAAAAAUACAAAUUCAAUAAAAUAUAAUUCUAAAAUAUUUUUUAAUUAAAAAAAAAAAAAUGAUUAAAUACUUAAAAAAUAUUUUGGAGAAUUUCAUCAACAUUUUCAAAUCAAGUUAAUAAUACUAAAUUAAAAAAUAUAAAAGUUAUAUGACGAAUAAUUAUCUCCCAGUGUAUUUGACGUAUAUUUUAUUAAAUGUAAUUUAUAAUAUAAAUAUUUGAACUAGUGCCGAUUUUUAUGAAUGUGACGACGAAUGUUUCUAUUUCUGAUAAACAUGAUCAAAGAAAAACUGUAAUUACGCUAAAUUAAUUACAAUCAUUAUUGUUUAAUUAGUACUUUUAUUAAUUAUGAUAUUAAUUAAUUUUAAUUAUUAUUAUAAAUUACACAAUUUAUAUUAUAUUUAAAUUAAUUAUAAUUUCUUAAUUAAUUAAAGGUACAUCAAUUGAUGACAAUAAUAAUUAAUUAAUUGCGAAAAAAUGAAAAAAAAAAAUUGUGUUUUUUGUAUGAAUCUAUAUAUAUAAUAGAGAGUCUCACUUUUAUAAAAAAAAAAAAAUUGUCAAGUUUAAUUAGUGCAGAAAAAAAAUUAUAAUUUUCUAUAUAUAAAAAAAGUUGUGAUAUUUUCUCAGUGAAAUGGAGAAAAAUUUAAAUUCUCACAUUUGUUUUAAGAAAAUUUAGAAUACGAAUUUUUCUAAUUAUGAAAAUUUUUUAAAAUAUACUCGCGAGUUUCUUUUCUUUUUUCUACUCAUGUUAAUUAACACAACGAGUUUGUAAUGCAUUUAAAAAUGGAUUAUUUUUCAUUUAUUGAAUCGAUGUUUAUUGCUCGUGUAAAUACGAAUAAAUUCAACAACGACAUAUUUCAUGAAAUUUAUAUUAUUUUUAUUAAGAUUAAUUUGUAAUAUGAUUUCUGAGUCUUAGCUAAUUUUGCGUUUUGUGGUAAAUUAAUUUUGUAGUUCUAAUUUUAAUUUAAUUGAUAGUUUAAAAGAAAGCGAAAACUGUUGAGAAAUUCAAGAAUACUUUUAAUUUAUUAAAACUAUUUUUAAGUUAAUUAUGAUUUUAGAUUUGAAUUUAUUAUCGUAAUUUAUAAAUCAAUUAUAAUAUUAACGAAUAUAAAUUCACGUAUAGCAAUGCAGAAUAACGGAACAAAGUUCAUUAACAUAUUUCUUGGAGUUUUGCAAAUAAGAAAAGAAAAGGAAAAAUUGAAAAAGGGAUUGGAUAUGCAAUGAUCCUUGGAAUUGAAAAGUGAAUAUUGGAGAAUUAAAACUUGCCCGUAGAUAUAUAUUUUUUUUUUUUGAUCCAGGAAAAAAAAGAAUUAUUAAAGAGCUUUUGAUUGUGAGAGCAAUACUUUCAUACUUGAAGUCUAAGCAAGACAUAUAUGAAUCUUGAAGAACGACUUAGGCAAUGCCUUGUAUAAAGGCAAAACGGCUCAGUAAUUUAUUGCGAUUGGGCACACGAACGGCUUUCACUUUUACUUUGCUUCGCUCUUGG